UCCAGACUCCUACGGGAGGCAGCAGUGGGGAAUAUUGCACAAUGGGGGGAAACCCUGAUGCAGCGACGCCGCGUGAAGGAUGAAGUAUUUCGGUAUGUAAACUUCUAUCAGCAGGGAAGAAAAUGACGGUACCUGACUAAGAAGCCCCGGCUAACUACGUGCCAGCAGCCGCGGUAAUACGUAGGGGGCAAGCGUUAUCCGGAUUUACUGGGUGUAAAGGGAGCGUAGACGGUAUGGCAAGUCUGAUGUGAAAACCCGGGGCUCAACCCCGGGACUGCAUUGGAAACUGUCGGACUAGAGUGUCGGAGAGGCAAGUGGAAUUCCUAGUGUAGCGGUGAAAUGCGUAGAUAUUAGGAGGAACACCAGUGGCGAAGGCGGCUUGCUGGACGAUGACUGACGUUGAGGCUCGAAAGCGUGGGGAGCAAACAGGAUUAGAUACCCGAGUACG
rnacentral:rRNA from 1 species